rnacentral:tRNA from 2 species
AAGUGAGAAGUAAAAAUUACAUUUAGUUUCGACCUAAAAAUCUGAUGCUCUGCCAUCCUCACUUA